rnacentral:rRNA from 1 species
GACGAACGCUGGCGGCGUGCUUAACACAUGCCAGUCGAACGGUGAAGCGCCUUCCUUUUUGGUGGGUGUGGAUGAGUGGCGAACGGGUGAGUAACACGUGAGUAACCUGCCCCCUUCUUCUGGAUAACCGCAUGAAAGUGUGGCUAAUACGGGAUAUUCUGGGUCUGUCGCAUGAUGGGUCUGGGAAAGAUAUUGUUUCGGUGGGGGAUGGGCUCGCGGCCUAUCAGCUUGUUGGUGGGGUGAUGGCCUACCAAGGCGGUGACGGGUAGCCGGCCUGAGAGGGUGGACGGUCACACUGGGAAUGAGACACGGCCCAGACUCCUACGGGAGGCAGCAGUGGGGAAUAUUGCACAAUGGGCGCAAGCCUGAUGCAGCGACGCCGCGUGAGGGAUGGAGGCCUUCGGGUUGUGAACCUCUUUCGCCAGUGAAGCAGGCCUGCCUCGUUUGUGGGUGGGUUGACGGUAGCUGGAUAAGAAGCGCCGGCUAACUACGUG